UACGUAGGGAGCAAGCGUUGUCCGGAAUCAUUGGGCGUAAAGCGCGCGUAGGUGGCCUCAUAAGUCCGCUGUGAAAGUCAAAGGCUCAACCUUUGAAAGCCGGGGGAUACUGUGAGGCUAGAGUACGGAAGAGGCGAGUGGAAUUCCUGGUGUAGCGGUGGAAUGCGCAGAUAUCAGGAGGAACACCACUAGCGAAGGCAGCUCGCUGGGACGUUACUGACACUGAGACGCGAAAGCGUGGGGAGCAAACAGG
rnacentral:rRNA from 1 species